rnacentral:rRNA from 1 species
AAGAUAGAGAGUAGUGCCUGCCCAGUGAAAAUUUAAACGGCCGCAGUACCCUGACUGUGCUAAGGUAGCAUAAUCACUUGUUUUUUAAUUGAAAGCUAGUAUGAAUGGCUUGACGAAAGCAAAGCUGUCUCUUUUAUAUUAUUUAAAAAUUAAUCUUUAGGUGAAGAAGCCUUACUGAUUUCAAAAGACGAAAAGACCCUAUCGAGCUUUAAAAGUAUAAUUAAAUUAAAUUUGUAGAAAAUAUAUGUUUUAAUUAACCUUUUUUAUUGGGGCGAUAAAAGAACAUAAAGAGCUUCUUUUUAUUUAUUAAAUUGAUGAAUUUAUUGAUCCAUAAAAUUAUGACUAAAAGAAAAAGCUACCGUAGGGAUAACAGCGUUAUUUUUUUAGAGAGCUCUAAUCGAAGAAAAAGUUUGCGACCUCGAUGUUGGAUUAGAGUAAUUUUUAAGUGCAGCAGCUUAAAAAAUGGGUCUGUUCGACCUUUAAA